AAGGCACACCCGGAGAACUGAAACAUCUUAGUACCCGGAGGAAGAGAAAGAAAAUUCGAUUCCCUUAGUAGCGGCGAGCGAAACGGGAAGAGCCCAAACCAAAAAGCUUGCUUGUUGGGGUUGUAGGACACUCUAUACGGAGUUACAAAGGACGACAUUAGACGAAUCAUCUGGAAAGAUGAAUCAAAGAAGGUAAUAAUCCUGU
rnacentral:rRNA from 1 species